GGGCCCGCACAAGCGGUGGAGCAUGUGGUUUAAUUCGACGCAACGCGAAGAACCUUACCCAGGCUCGAACGGUAGAUGACAUCCUACGAAAGUAGGCUCCCGCAAGGGCAUCUAUCGAGGUGCUGCAUGGCUGUCGUCAGCUCGUGUCGUGAGAUGUUGGGUUAAGUCCCGCAACGAGCGCAACCCUUGUCUUCUGUUGCCAUCGGGUUAUGCCGGGCACUCUGAAGAGACUGCCGGUGACAAACCGGAGGAAGGUGGGGAUGACGUCAAGUCAGCAUGGCCUUUAUGUCUGGGGCCACACACGUGCUACAAUGGCCGAUACAAACCGUCGCGAGCCCGUCAGGGGGAGCUAAUCGGAGAAAGUCGGUCUCAGUUCGGAUUGUCGGCUGCAACUCGCCGGCAUGAAGUUGGAAUCGCUAGUAAUCGCGGAUCAGCACGCCGCGGUGAAUACGUUCCCGGGCCUU
rnacentral:rRNA from 1 species